rnacentral:rRNA from 1 species
GGGAAUAUUGGACAAUGGGGGGAACCCUGAUCCAGCGACGCCGCGUGAGUGAAGAAGUAUUUCGGUAUGUAAAGCUCUAUCAGCAGGGAAGAAAGAAAUGACGGUACCUGACCAAGAAGCCCCGGCUAACUACGUGCCAGCAGCCGCGGUAAUACGUAGGGGGCAAGCGUUAUCCGGAUUUACUGGGUGUAAAGGGAGCGUAGACGGUGAUGCAAGUCAGAAGUGAAAGCCCAGGGCUCAACUCCGGGACUGCUUUUGAAACUGUGUAACUGGAGUGCAGGAGGGGUAAGCGGAAUUCCUGGUGUAGCGGGGGAAUGCGUAGAUAUCAGGAGGAACACCAGUGGCGAAGGCGGCUUACUGGACUGUAACUGACGUUGAGGCUCGAAAGCGUGGGGAGCAAA